UUUAGACUUGGGCGAAGCCUGACCGCAAUGCCGCGUGCAGGAAGAAGGCCUUCGGGUUGUAAACUGCUUUUGUACGGAACGAAACGGCCUUUUCUAAUAAAGAGGGCUAAUGACGGUACCGUAAGAAUAAGCACCGGCUAACUACGUGCCAGCAGCCGCGGUAAUACGUAGGGUGCGAGCGUUAAUCGGAAUUACUGGGCGUAAAGCGUGCGCAGGCGGUUCUAUAAGACAGAUGUGAAAUCCCCGGGCUCAACCUGGGAAUGGCAUUUGUGACUGUAGAGCUAGAGUACGGUAGAGGGGGAUGGAAUUCCGCGUGUAGCAGUGAAGUGGGUAGAUAUGCGGAGGAACACCGAUGGCGAAGGCAAUCCCCUGGACCUGUACUGACGCUCAUGCACGAAAG
rnacentral:rRNA from 1 species